rnacentral:rRNA from 1 species
UACGAAGGGGGCUAGCGUUGCUCGGAAUCACUGGGCGUAAAGGGUGCGUAGGCGGGUCUUUAAGUCAGGGGUGAAAUCCUGGAGCUCAACUCCAGAACUGCCUUUGAUACUGAAGAUCUUGAGUUCGGGAGAGGUGAGUGGAACUGCGAGUGUAGAGGUGAAAUUCGUAGAUAUUCGCAAGAACACCAGUGGCGAAGGCGGCUCACUGGCCCGAUACUGACGCUGAUGCACGAAAGCGUAGGGAGCAACAGG